rnacentral:rRNA from 1 species
GAGGGAAAGGUGAAAAGCACUUCGAACAGAAGAGUGAAAUAGUCCCUGAACCCAUACGCCUACAAGCUGUCGGAGCCGCUUCGUGCGGUGACGGCGUGCCUUUUGCAUAAUGAGCCUACGAGUUACUCAUCACCAGCGAGGUUAAGUACUUCAGGUACGUAAGCCGAAGCGAAAGCGAGUCUGAAUAGGGCGUCAAGUUGGUGGUGGUAGACGCGAAACCUUAGUGAUCUACCCAUGGGCAGGGUGAAGGUUUGGUAACACAAACUGGAGGCCCGAACCGGUAAACGUUGAAAAGUUUUCGGAUGACCUGUGGGUAGGGGUGAAAGGCCAAUCAAACUGGGAAAUAGCUCGUACUCUCCGAAAUGCAUUUAGGUGCAGCCUCUGUUGUUUUGUUCUAGAGGUAGAGCUACUGAUUGGAUGCGAGGGCUUCACCGCCUAUCAAAUCCGGCCAAACUCCGAAUGCUAGAACAUAAAGACAGGGAGUGAGCCAGCGGGUGCUAAGGUCCGUUGACGAAAGAGGGAGAACUCAGACCAUCAGCUAAGGUCCCCAAUUAUAUGCUAAGUUGGAAUAAAAACGGGGUGGGACUGCUUAGACAGCUAGGAUGUUGGCUUGGAAGCAGCCAUUCAUUUAAAGAGUGCGUAACAGCUCACUAGUCGAGCGGUCCUGCAUGGAUAAUACGCGGGCAUAAGCAUAUAACCGAAGCUAUGGGAUUGUAGAUGAUACAAUCGGUAGGAGAGCAUUCCAUUCAGCAUAGAAGCAGUAUCGUGAGGUAUUGUGGAGCGGAUGGAAAAGCAAAUGUAGGCAUAAGUAACGAUAAUGCGGGUGAGAACCCCGCACGCCGAAAGAUCAAGGAUUCCCCGGCAAUGUCAAUCAUCCGGGGGUAAGUCGGAUCCUAAGGGUAAGCCGAGUGGCGAUCCCGAUGGUAAACAGGUUAAUAUUCCUGUACUGAUCAUAACUGCGAUGCAGCGACGCAGAGGUGACACUGCUGCGUACUGACGGAAUAGUACGUUGAAACCCGUAUUCUUUGAUACCGGUAGUGAAGCACGCCGGUAGAGAUGAAAGGUGAUAGUACCGCAAUGCUUCGGUUGCGCGGAUAAUGCAGGUAAGCUGACUGCCAAGAAAACCUGCUAAGCUUCAGGUAAUGAUCAUCCGUACUGUAAACGGACACACGUGAUCAGGUAGAAAAUACUAAGGCGCUCGAGAGAUUCAUGGUUAAGGAACUAGGCAAAAUGGUCCUGUAACUUCGGGAUAAAGGACGCUCUUGUGAAAGAGCCGCAGAUAAUAGGCCCAGGCGACUGUUUACCAAAAACACAUGGCUAUGCUAAUUCGCAAGAAGAUGUAUAUGGCCUGACACCUGCCCGGUGCCGGAAGGUUAAGAGGAGAGCUCAGAGGUAACUCGAAGGUUUGAAUUGAAGCCCCGGUAAACGGCGGCCGUAACUAUAACGGUCCUAAGGUAGCGAAAUUCCUUGUCGGGUAAGUUCCGACCUGCACGAAUGGUGUAACGAUCUGGGUACUGUCUCAACCAUGAGCUCGGUGAAAUUGUAGUUCCGGUGAAGAUGCCGGAUACCCGCAACGGGACGGAAAGACCCCGUGAACCUUUACUGCAGCUUUGCAUUGAUUUUGGGUAACAGAUGUGUAGGAUAGGUCGGAGGCUUUGAUGCUGCGUCGUCAGGCGUAGAGUAGCCGUCGUUGAAAUACGACCCUUUUGUUAUCUGAGGUCUAAUCCCGUUAGGGAGACAUUGCAUGGUGGGUAGUUUGACUGGGGUGGUCGCCUCCAAAAGUGUAACGGAGGCUUCUCAAGGUACCCUCAAGGCGUUUGGUAAUCGUCUGCAGAGUGCAAUGGCAUAAGGGUGCUUGACUGUGAGACCGACACGUCGAUCAGGUUGGAAACAAGAGCAUAGUGAUCCGGUGGUUCCGCAUGGAAGGGCCAUCGCU